rnacentral:lncRNA from 1 species
AUGGCCGACAUUGAGGACUGAGUGUUGGAUGAGAAGAAGGUGUGUAUAGCUGCUAAAUUCAUCACUCAUGCUCCCCCAUGGGAAUUUAAUGAGUAUUCAAUGAUGUUUAAUACUUAAUAAUGACACUCUCCUCAGCGAAGGGGCAGCACAUGCAUUUGCCCAGCAUAACAUGGAUCAGUUCACGUCUGUGAAGACAGAGAAGGAUAUGAAGAUCAGGUCUUAAUUGCAGAGCACUCUAACCUAGGUAAUAGCAGAUUUCUAGAUCCAAGAAACAAAAUUUCCUUUAAAUUUGAUCACGUAUGGAAAAAAGCAAGUGACCCCCAGCCACAGGAAGUAGAUGGAGGUCUGAAGUCUUGGAGAGAAUCCUGUGACCCUGCUUUAAAAGCCUAUGUGAAAGAUCAUUAUUCCAGCGGCUUCUGUACUGUUUAUGUUAAAACUAUAGAUGGGCAACAGACUAUUCCUGCAUGCAUUGAAAGCCACCAGUUUCAUCCUUAAAAAUUCUGAAGUGGUCAUUGGAGUGGAAGGUCAUCAUCAUACCUCCUACAGCCCAGGUGGCUGGAGUGCUUAAGAUUCACUAUUAUGAAUAUGGCAAUGUUCAGUCGGUUAGUCAUAAAGAUGUACAGGAUUCACUAACUGUUUCGAAUGAAGUCCAAACUGCCAAGGAGUUUAUUAAAAUCAUAGGGAAUGCAGAAAAUGACCAUCAGACAGCAACCAGUGAAAACUAUCAAACAAUGUCAGAUACCACAUUCCAGGCCUUGCGCCGGCAGCUUCCAGUUACCCGCAGGAAAAUCGACUGGAACAAGAUACUCAUCUACCAGAUUGGCAAAGAAAUGCAGAAUGCUUAA